rnacentral:rRNA from 1 species
UGGGUAACCUGCCCUUAACUCUGGGAUAAGCCUGGGAAACUGGGUCUAAUACCGGAUAUGACUCCUCAUCGCAUGGUGGGGGGUGGAAAGCUUUAUUGUGGUUUUGGAUGGACUCGCGGCCUAUCAGCUUGUUGGUGAGGUAAUGGCUCACCAAGGCGACGACGGGUAGCCGGCCUGAGAGGGCGACCGGCCACACUGGGACUGAGACACGGCCCAGACUCCUACGGGAGGCAG